GACAGCAGUGUCAGAUCAGCCAGUGAGGGCAGGCUCCUGGGGCUCUGGCGCCCUUUCCUCUAGCCUCAGGUGUCAGGCAUUGUGCUCAGAUGGGCUCCAGUGCCAGCCAGAGGUGCCUGCGGCCAGGAUGGAGAGGACAAGACAGAGACACCCCCUUGGGAGAAGCUGAGCCCUACCUACAUUGCACUGCCCAAAAGGAAAUUCUUCAGCUGCGUAGAAGGUACUGCUCUGGGGGUUUGUGCCGUCCAGGAACCGUUUGGAAAUGAUUUAUGGUCCAAGAUGGCGCCAGGCCUGCCUCAACCCCCCGCGUUGGAAGAGGGAGGGAUAAGCCGGACCCUGGGAAGCUGGACCUACAUUAUCUCGGAAUGUGCAUUUCUGUUGAUAACAUGUUCAUUGUCUCUGCAAGUUAUAGCCCUGUUUUCGACUUGCCCUGGAAGGGGAAGUACCAAAUUCAGGCAAAAUAAAGAUGCUCCAAGUUUGAAAAGUUUAA